rnacentral:rRNA from 1 species
AUGCAGAUCAAACAACUAGAUACUACGUACAGCAGCAGCAGCAGUAGUAGAUACCAUUCUAAAUCCACAAAUAAAAAGGCAUCACUAACAAACAAUAUCCACAACUUCAGAAAUGUUGGUCACUACUUCUACUUCCAUGUGGCUCAUAACAAAUUUAAACCUACUGCAGUUCCAAGUAAUCGUCCGAUAAACACCACUAAAAUAUCAAGUUGUCAACGUAACAUGAACAUGUGCCCAACACGCAUAAAAGACAAGCAGCCUAGUUACCAGUUAAAACACGCUCAUGUUGUUCCUAUAAAUGCGACAUUUUAUCAUCUAAAGCAUAGAAAGGUCUAUAUCAUUUGA